rnacentral:rRNA from 1 species
CUACGGGAGGCUCCAGUGAGGAAUAUUGGGCAAUGGAGGCAACUCUGACCCAGCCAUGCCGCGUGCAGGAAGACGGCCCUCUGGGUUGUAAACUGCUUUUGUUUGGGAAUAAACCCUUCUACGUGUAGGAGGCUGAAGGUACCAUUCGAAUAAGGAUCGGCUAACUCCGUGCCAGCAGCCGCGGUAAUACGGAGGAUCCAAGCGUUAUCCGGAUUUAUUGGGUUUAAAGGGUCCGUAGGCGGGUCUUUAAGUCAGUGGUGAAAGCCCACAGCUCAACUGUGGAACUGCCAUUGAUACUGGAGAUCUUGAGUGUAGUAGAAGUAGGCGGAAUAGGGCAUGUAGCGGUGAAAUGCAUAGAUAUGCCCUAGAACACCGAUUGCGAAGGCAGCUUACUAUGUUACAACUGACGCUGAGGGACGAAAGCGUGGGGAGCAAACAGGAUUAGAUACCCGUGUAGUC